CUGUAGAGGUGGCAGGUAGCCUAGUGGUUAGAGUGUAGAGGAGGCAGGUAGCCUAGUGGUUAGAGUGUAGAGGCGGCAGGUAGCCUAGUGGUUAGAGUGUAGAGGAGGCAGGUAGCCUAGUGGUUAGAGUGUAGAGGCGGCAGGGUAGCCUAGUGGUUAGAGUGUAGAGGCGGCAGGGUAGCCUAGUGGUUAGAGUGUAGAGGUGGCAGGGUAGCCUAGUGGUUAGAGUGUAGAGGUGGCAGGGUAGCCUAGUGGUUAGAGUGUAGAGGUGGCAGGGUAGCCUAGUGGUUAGAGUGUAGAGGUGGUAGGUAGCCUAGUGGUUAGAGUGGAGGGGAGGCAGGUAGCCUAGUGGUUAGAGUGUAGAGGAGGCAGGUAGCCUAGUGGUUAGAGUGUAGAGGUGGCAGGUAGCCUAGUGGUUAGAGUGUAGAGGAGGCAGGUAGCCUAGUGGUUAGAGGGUAGAGGUGGUAGGUAGCCUAGUGGUUAGAGUGGAGGGGCGGCAGGUAGCCUAGUGGUUAGAGGGUAGAGGUGGCAGGGUAGCCUAGUGGUUAGAGUGUAGAGGAGGCAGGUAGCCUAGUGGUUAGAUUGGAGGGGCGGCAGGGUAGCCUAGUGGUUAGAGUGGAGGGGCGGCAGGGUAGCCUAGUGGUUAGAGUGGAGGGGCGGCAGGGUAGCCUAGUGGUUAGAGUGGAGGGGCGGCAGGGUAGCCUAGUGGUUAGAGUGGAGGGGCGGCAGGGUAGCCUAGUGGUUAGAGUGUAGAGGUGGCAGGGUAGCCUAGUGGUUAGAGUGUAGGGCGGCAG
ensembl:lncRNA